UACGGAGGAUUCAAGCGUUAUCCGGAUUUAUUGGGUUUAAAGGGUGCGUAGACGGUUAUGUAAGUCUGGAGUGAAAGCCCGGGGCCCAACCCCGGGACUGCUUUGGAAACUGUGUAACUGGAGUACAGGAGGGGCAGGCGGAAUUCCUGGUGUAGCGGUGAAAUGCGUAGAUAUCACGAAGAACUCCGAUUGCGAAGGCAGCUUACCAGUCUGCGACUGACGCUCAGGCACGAAAGUGUGGGUAUCGAACAGG
rnacentral:rRNA from 1 species